UUUUUCCUACGGGGGGCAGCAGUGGGGAAUAUUGCACAAUGGGGGAAACCCUGAUGCAGCGACGCCGCGUGAGUGAGGAAGUAUUUCGGUAUGUAAAGCUCUAUCAGCAGGGAAGAAAAUGACGGUACCUGACCAAGAAGCCCCGGCUAACUACGUGCCAGCAGCCGCGGUAAUACGUAGGUGGCAAGCGUUGUCCGGAAUUACUGGGUGUAAAGGGAGCGCAGGCGGGAAGCCAAGUCAGCUGUGAAAACUACGGGCUUAACUUGUAGACUGCAGUUGAAACUGGUUUUCUUGAGUGAAGUAGG
rnacentral:rRNA from 1 species